AAUUUGAUCCUCUAGUCUCUUCCACGGAGAAUUUUUAUCAAUGAAGUGAUCAAGGGUGAUCCCUCUUUCUAUUAGAUGACAGGCCUAUAUAUAGAGGGGGGGUGAAUAAAUCCCAAGUUAAAAAUUUAUUCAGAAAUUUUUCUUUAAAAAAUUUAUGACGCGGAAGCAAGUUUCUAAUAUUUCCCAGAUCAAAAAUCGUCUAACCAAACCUACUAUUGAAUAGCCCGAAUAUGCAUAAAGGU
rnacentral:lncRNA from 1 species